rnacentral:rRNA from 1 species
UACGUAGGGGGCAAGCGUUGUCCGGAUUUACUGGGCGUAAAGAGCGUGUAGGCGGCCACGCAGGUCCGUUGUGAAAACUGGAGGCUCAACCUCCAGCUGUCGACGGAAACCGUAUGGCUAGAGUCCGGAAGAGGAGAGUGGAAUUCCUGGUGUAGCGGUGAAAUGCGCAGAUAUCAGGAAGAACACCCGUGGCGAAGGCGGCUUUCUGGGACGGUACUGACGCUGAGACGCGAAAGCGUGGGGAGCGAACAGG